rnacentral:rRNA from 1 species
UGCUUAUCUGGUUGAUCCUGCCAGUAUUAUAUGCUUAUUUCGAAGAUUAAGCCAUGCAAAUGUGAGAUCGGAUCGGUCGUGCAAACGACUGACUUUCAAUCUGUGUACAGCUCCAUAUAAGAUUUAUAACCGCCGCUGGUUGUGUCAUUUAGAAGGAUAACGCAACCAAAUGUAGCGAUAAUACUUGAGAAAUAAACGAUAAAGCUCAAAGGAAUCAGCUUUAUCCGCUCAGGGUUUCCUGGGUGUUAACCGAUGGUCGAUCAGGCGGGUUUAUUACUGAUCAGUUAGACAACUGUUUCAAUAACAGUUGUGACAGUCACCAGUACGGGGAAUUAGUGUUCGAUUCCGGAGAAGGAGCCUGAGAAACAGCUACUAGUGCCAAGGCAUGCAGCAGGCGCGAAACUUACCCAAUGCGAACAUAUUCGCGAGGUAGUGAAAAGAAAUAAGCAUCUUUCCUUUAUUGGGAAAGAGUACCGGUUUUACUGGUUUACAAUGGCAACGCAUUAGACUUGUGUUGGAGUAACAAUUGGAGGGAAAGUCAGGUGCCAGCAGCCGCGGUAAUACCUGCUCCAAUAGUGUAUGAUAACAUUGCUGCAGUUAAAACGUUCGUAGUCGCCCUAAGGGGUUUUAGAUUGAAGUCGGUUGAUUUAAUCCUAUUAGUGCUGUUAUUCUAAUAACUCACUAGAAGGUCGAUUUUCGGAGUCCUUUGGGACUUAUUAGAUCUUCCAUAGCGUGCCUUGGGUUUUGUUCUUAACUUAGGUUUUGAUCAUGCCUAUAGUGUCACGUGAUUUCGAUUUAUUGCCCCGAUUUUAACCUGUGAGCAAAUUAGUGCGAUCAAAGGAUGAUUAGUGGUGGCUUACUCUUCACGGAGUGGCUAUUUGUGAUGCAACAUACUUUAGCACAGAACCAGUUGUUCCGGUUGUUCUGCAACCGGUAUAGACAAUAGAACCAGGAACAGGCUUUCGGUAUUUACUGAUGAGGGGUGAAAUCCGUAUAGUCCGUAAGGACCCACGGAGGCGAAAGCGGAAAGCUAGUACUGAUUCAUAUGAUGAGGAACGAGAGCCAGGGGAGCAAAGAUGAUUAGAUACCGUCGUAGUCCUGGCUGUAAACUAUACAAAUUAGAGAUUGUAUGAAACCAUAUAACAGAUUCUUACAGGAUCCCCCGAGAAAUCCUAAAUUUUUGUGUUCUUGGGGGAGUAUAUUCGCAAGAACGAAACUUAAAGGAAUUGACGGAAAUUCACCACCAGGAGUGGAUUCUGCGGCUUAAUUCGACUCAACGCGUGGAAACUUACCAGAACCAGACUAUGGAAAGAUUGACAAGCUAAUGACUUUUCUUGAUUCGUAGAAUAGUGGUGCAUGGUCGUUCUCAGUUCGUGGAUUGGUCUGUCUACUUAAUUGUGAUAACGAGCGAGACCUCCGUUAUUAAUUAGCAACUCUGUAUUCCUAUUGCUGGAAUCGGUAUUUGGGUUUUUAACCCAUCUUCUUAAUAAGACUCUACUCGAUUCAAUAAAACAGAGUAGGGAAGUUGGAGGCCAUAACAGAUCUGUUAUGCCCUUAUAUAUUCUGGGCGGCACGCGUAAUACAAUGUUUUUGCCAACGAGUUAGGUUAAUCGCCGUACCAAGUUUGAUAAGACAAGGAAAGCUUUUGCAAUCCUUUAUUUCAAGGCUGGGAUUGAAGAUUGUAAGUUCUUCAUGAACCAGGAAUUCCUAGUAAUCGCAAAUCAACAUUUUGCAAUGAUUACGUCCCUGAGUUUUGUACACACCGCCCGUCGCUCCUACCAAUUGAAUCGGAAGAUGAAAUUGCUGGAUUUUCGUAUUCUAUGCGGAGAGAAAGCACUUAAAUCUUUCUAUUUGUAGGAAGGAGAAGUCGUAACAAGGUAUUCGUAGGUGAACCUGCGGAAGGAUCAA